ensembl:lncRNA
UGAGUAGAAGUUAUUGAGGACGUGUGAUCUAGUCGUCUCCAUGAGCCUCGUCAUGAGGAACUUCUCUCAGAGCUUCAAAGACCUCAAAGGCUUCUGAUGGAGGAGCAUCUUCCUCCACGCUUCUUCUGAGAGGAGAAGGUUUCUGCCUCACCCCCCUCAUCCCUCACCCCCUCACCCCCUCACCCCCUCACCCCGCUGGCUGCCAGCGAUGAGUCAGCGUGCUGUUAUGUGGAGAGAGAAAAGGUGGAGGAGGAGAGAAGGAGGAGGGGCCUCCUCUCUGAUCCACAUGUGACAUGCGUGUUCACUUUCCCCACCAUUUAUACAUGUAUGUAUUUAUGUGUUUAUACAUGAUAAUCAGAUUACUGAUUCGUAUAGUAGUCAUAAGUACUGUUUCUGACAGCAGUUAUUAUUGUUAAUCUGAAGACUCAUAAAGACUCAAUAAUACAUUAACAACUAGUGUGUAACGCUUAUGUCAUCAAAACAACAUCAGAGGCAUUCUCCAACAGAAGUAGUACUUCAGGCCAUAGUACUUCAGGUUCAUAGUACUUCAGGCUUGUAGUACUUCAGGUUCAUAGUACUUCAGGCUUGUAGUGCUUCAGGCUCGUAGUACUUCAGGCUCGUAGUGCUUCAGGCUCGUAGUACUUCAGGCUCGUAGUGCUUCAGGCUCGUAGUACUUCAGGCUCGUAGUACUUCAGGCUUGUACUUCAGGUUCAUAGUACUUCAGGCUCGUAAUACUUCAGGCUCGUAGUACUUCAGGCUCGUAGUACUUCAGGCUUGUUCCAAUAGCUACAUCGUCUGCUAGAGAUUUAAGGUGAAAAUGUGCGUUUAAAGGCGCAGUACCUGUCUGUCAGUAUUUAAGCUCCUCCCUCUGAAACAAACACGCUGUUAACGAACGAUACGUCAUUGUAACGCACUUAUUACGCGUUAACGUGGGCAGCGUCGUAAUGAACCUGCUUACUGUGGGAGAGAAGUGGAUGAGCAGCGCAACAACCGUUGCUUCUGCUUUAGACUCACAUCCGGCUCCACCUCCUCCAUCACAGCAUGGAAACACCACCUGCUCCCUGUGUGUGUUUACAGUGACCGCUCUGUGUUUAAAGAACCGUCACGCCAAGAGUUUCCACUGAGGUUUACAGCGUGUGUGUGUGUGUGCGCGUGUGUGUGUGUGUGCGUGUGUGUGUGUGUGUGCGCGUGUGUGUGUGUGUGUGUGUGUGCGGGUGGCUGACUACAACCACAACCUCUAGUUGUU